rnacentral:tRNA from 1 species
GCCUGGGUGGCUCAGUCGGUUAAGCACCUGACUUUGGCUCAGGUCAUAAUCUCAGGGUUUGUGAGUUCAAGCCCUGCGUCAGGCU